rnacentral:lncRNA from 1 species
CUGAAAGGGACCCGAGAACGCGCUCUGAAUCCGACCUCAGGCCUUCCCAGGUCCUCACCGUGUCUUCAGUGCACUUUGUUCGAGGACAGGACUUGUAAGGAGGCGCUGUGAAGUUACAGUAGGGGAAAGCCGGAGUUGGAAAACAUUCUGUCCCUUGGCCUCUCUCCCUUCCUUAGUGAAGAAAAAUCCAGGCCCCUUUGUGUGACUAAAUUUGGCAAGAAUAUGAAUCCGAGCCAGCCUUUCCACGUGUGCUCCCAGCUCCCAGCUGAGGAGGCCAAGGGUUCUCUUCCGGUGCUCAGGGAAAGCGCCUGACUGACAGCACCGACAUCCAAUGCCCAGGAAUCACGGCAACACCGGCUGGCCAAGCGUGGAGAGGACAAUUUUCCAGAAAACUUUCUCUUCCCCUGUAAAUCUGCCAUCUGGGGCGUGCACGAUCAAAGGUUCCUCAGGAAAUCUACAGCGCGGGGAACACCAUUCCCUCUACAGACUUUGUUUGCAGGCUACUUCCUCAACCGUAUCUUGGUACAUGCAGGUCAGACAGUAGAUCUGCUCAAGCCUGCGCCUGGAGUUUUUAGCAAAAUACCUUCGUGAAGCUUAGCCGUACUCUUAGGCAAAUGUCUCCUCGUUGCACAAGCCAUUCCCCCCAUUUCGGAGAUCUAAAUCCUCAUGAAUAAGAGAAAGGUGAACAACAGCAAGCAGGGCCAUUUCCUGGAAGAAACGUCAGAGAAUCUUCUGGUCAGAACCAUAUCCCAGACCACGGUGUGCUCUUCUGGUGGCAAAGCAUCUCAUGGGCGGAGUCCACAAGCACGGCCCCCUUCACUGUGGCUUUUAAAAGUGACCCAUUGACCCUUUCACCAGAGGCAUAGAGAUUUAAGGAUUCAGCUGACGCCAUCGCCACAGCAAAGGCUGUUUAAAAGGAAAGGUUAACUGUGGUAACUGCUGCUGAAAUUAUUUUGCCAGCAAGAACACCAAAAGUAUAUUCAAAAGGCUCUCAGUGACAUGUUCAUAGAAGUGUAGUUUAUGACUUUGAAAGGCCUGGCUGUUCAAACCAUAGAUUGAUGAAAUCAAUUCUAAUAUAGCCACCCAGGGAAUCACUGUGCAGCUAUGAAAAUGAUGUAUGAUUAUUUUCAAUCCUAUGAAAAAGUAGAGAUGGUGCAUAGUUAAAUGAGAAAAGAACGAAUAUAAUAAAAGAGAGAAUACAAUCUUGGUCUCAUUUUUUAAAAUCUUUCUGUACAUAUUAUUUAUUAGAACAUGCUCACAGGGGCCUUGUCUGUCUUACCUCAGUGUCCCUGGUGUCUAGAAGGAUUCCUGGCACAAAGUGGGACGACAUUCAUAUCUAUUAUUAUAUCUAGAAAGACAGGCACUGAAAUAUUAGCAGUUUACCCCAAAGAAUGG